rnacentral:rRNA from 1 species
CCUACGGGAGGCAGCAGUGAGGAAUAUUGGUCAAUGACGAGAGUCUGAACUAACCAAGUAGCGUGAAGGAUGACUGCCCUAUGGGUUGUAAACUUCUUUUAUAUGGGAAUAAAACGUUCCACGUGUGGGAGUUUGUAUGUACCAGAUGAAUAAGGAUCGGCUAACUCCGUGCCAGCAGCCGCGGUAAUACGGAGGAUCCGAGAGUUAUCCGGAUUUAUUGGGUUUAAAGGGAGCGUAGGUGGAUUGUUAAGUAAGUUGUGAAAGUAUGCUGGUCAACCGUAAAAUUGCAGUUGAAACUGGCAGUCUUGAGUACAGUAGAGGUGGGCGGAAUUCGUGGUGUAGCGGUGAAAUGCUUAGAUAUCACGAAGAACUCCGAUUGCGAAGGCAGUUCACUGGACUGCAACUGACACUGAGGCUCGAAAGUGUGGGUAUCAAACAGGAUUAGAUACCCUUGUAGUC